rnacentral:rRNA from 1 species
CAGCAGCCACGGUAAUACGUAGGGUGCGAGCGUUAAUCGGAUUUACUGGGCGUAAAGCGUGCGUAGGCGGCUAAUUGAGUCGGAUGUGAAAUCCCCGAGCUUAACUUGGGAAUUGCAUUCGAUACUGGUUAGCUAGAGUCUUGUAGAGGGGGGUAGAAUUCCAGGUGUAGCGGUGAAAUGCGUAGAGAUCUGGAGGAAUACCGGUGGCGAAGGCGGCCCCCUGGACAAAGACUGACGCUCAGGUGCGAAAGCGUGGGGAGCAAACAGGAUUAGAUACCCGGGUAGUCCCUGUCUCUUAUAC